rnacentral:rRNA from 1 species
AUUGAACGCUGGCGGCAGGCUUAACACAUGCAAGUCGAGCGGGGUGAUGGUGCUUGCACUAUCACUUAGCGGCGGACGGGUGAGUAAUGCUUAGGAAUCUGCCUAUUAGUGGGGGACAACAUUUCGAAAGGAAUGCUAAUACCGCAUACGUCCUACGGGAGAAAGCAGGGGAUCUUCGGACCUUGCGCUAAUAGAUGAGCCUAAGUCGGAUUAGCUAGUUGGUGGGGUAAAGGCCUACCAAGGCGACGAUCUGUAGCGGGUCUGAGAGGAUGAUCCGCCACACUGGGACUGAGACACGGCCCAGACUCCUACGGGAGGCAGGAGUGGGGAAUAUUGGACAAUGGGCGGAAGCCUGAUCCAGCCAUGCCGCGUGUGUGAAGAAGGCCUUAUGGUUGUAAAGCACUUUAAGCGAGGAGGAGGCUACUUUAGUUAAUACCUAGAGAUAGUGGACGUUACUCGCAGAAUAAGCACCGGCUAACUCUGUGCCAGCAGCCGCCGUAAAAC